UUAAUCCAGCACUCUCCUUUUGGACUCUUCCUGCAGUAAUCACACUGAGGUAUCCUAAUAGUAUGACCAGGACAGUCUAUUUUGGCUAUUGGAGCAGAUGGCUGUCUAUACGCUUCUGCUCUCAGCACCAAUCUGAAGUGUAGUGGAUCUCCCUUGACAUCUGAAAUCUUUAGCUCGUUUAGAAGGUGGCUAUGAGCUAGAACCAAUCGAC
rnacentral:lncRNA from 1 species